UACUUUGUCUUGGCCUUCUAUAAUUCUGUCUGUUGGGCUUUGCUUGGUAGCGUUUAGUUUAAAUAGUUUUUGAUGAAUGCGCUACUCACAUAUUUCCUUCUCUUUCUUCUGAAAGGUGCUAACAUUGCUUUGUGUGAUCCUCUAUCCACACUGUAGAAAAGCUUGUCGAUGCCAUCAUUUUUCUGCAUAAACAAACCCUGGAUGCAUUCAAUGAAGCUGUUCCUAUAGGUGCCGCCUUCAUGGAGCAAGGUCAGAACAAAAGGCUAGGUUCAUGUGGUCUCACACUACAUUAUGCUAACAUCAUCAAUCAAACUGAAGAUAUAGUCACCAUUAUAAUGCCUUUGCAUCCACAAGUUUCUAGAGGUGCGUUUGCUGAGCUAAAAGGAUCUUCUGCUGGAAUAGGUUUCUACCUAAAGGCAGAUCUUAUAUUUUGCGCUUUUGUCUGUGAUGUAAUACUGGCAUAUGAACGUACAUAUGUAUGCAUGUGUGCAUGUAGACCGGAUGGAUGGUUGUGCUUUUAGCUUGUUCUGUCACUGGACUUGUAUGCCUAUGUGUGCAUAUAUGCAUGCAUGACGGAUCUUUGUGCUUUUGGAUGUCCU